GGGUUGUGAGGUUAAGCGACUAAGCGUACACGGUGGAUGCCCUGGCAGUCAGAGGCGAUGAAGGACGUGCUAAUCUGCGAUAAGCGCCGGUAAGGUGAUAUGAACCGUUAUAACCGGCGAUACCCGAAUGGGGAAACCCAGUGUGAUUCGUCACACUAUCAUUACGUGAAUCCAUAGCGUAAUGAGGCGAACCGGGGGAACUGAAACAUCUAAGUACCCCGAGGAAAAGAAAUCAACCGAGAUUCCCCCAGUAGCGGCGAGCGAACGGGGAGGAGCCCAGAGCCUGAAUCAGCAUGUGUGUUAGUGGAAGCGUCUGGAAAGGCGCGCGAUACAGGGUGACAGCCCCGUACACAAAAGCGCAUGUGCUGUGAGCUCGAUGAGUAGGGCGGGACACGUGGUAUCCUGUCUGAAUAUGGGGGGACCAUCCUCCAAGGCUAAAUACUCCUGACUGACCGAUAGUGAACCAGUACCGUGAGGGAAAGGCGAAAAGAACCCCGGCGAGGGGAGUGAAAAAGAACCUGAAACCGUGUACGUACAAGCAGUGGGAGC
rnacentral:rRNA from 1 species